rnacentral:rRNA from 1 species
CACGGCGCAGGACGCAUUUCCUCCCGCACUCUGGACGCCGCAGCCGGUCGGGCAGCAGCGCGAGUCGGCCAUGAGGACCCGCAACGGCAGGUGGCGGGGGAGCCGUCCAGCACGGUCUCUUCCGAUUCUAGCCGGCGCGGUUCGUGGCGCGACGCCCGACCGAGGAAGAAGUCCGCCGGACGGCGGAUGAGCCGCGCACUCGCCAGAGCGAGCGGGACGCGUGCGACAGGUGGUUCUCGUCGCGGGGGUGUUCACCGCUCAACGGUGGCCCGCCCUUCGAGUCCUCCGAUCGUCGCAUCGUCAUCCGCGGCGUGUGGUUCACGGCUUGCGGCGAGUAGGUCGGUCACCCACUCGACCCGUCUUGAAACACGGACCAAGGAGUCUAACAUGUGCGCGAGUCACGGGGUCUUGAACAGGCCCAGAGGCGCAAUGAAAGUGAAGGACGCCGUCAGGUGCCCGAGUUGGGAUCCGCGACAAGAUCGCGGCGCACCAACGACCCGUCCCACGCCGCUCGCGGUGGGGCGGAGUCUGAGCGUACACGUUGGGACCCGAAAGAUGGUGAACUAUGCCCGG